UCUUCUUAAAUCCGUUCACUUUCCUUCGUCUUUCGCACCAUUUUCAUCCUUCUUCAGUUCUUCUUCAUCAGUUUAUGAGAUUAGGCAAAUCCCUCACCUAUUUUCGAUCUCCCGUCCCUCGCCGCAGCUAUUGCUAUUGAGUGUUGUUGAUACCAUUGUUGUAAAAUUUGUUGUUGUGGCAAAGGUUGUUGAUGUUGUUAUUGUAAAACAAACUGCCAUUGGAUCUCUGAAACUAGUGUUCCUUCUAGCCACUCCGUUCUCUUCCGUCUUCACUUCUAACCUCAUACCUAAUAGUCCAGUCAAUUUAUGUAAAUCCGAGGACCGUCGUUGAAUCGAGGAAAUCCCGAUCUUAUAGAUGUCUUCCUCAACUUUCAGAAUGAAAGAUUUUGUUCGUUAGCUAUCGGAUUCGGGAUCAUCGAAGUCGAAGUCAUCCACACUAUCAAAGCCCUCUGGUACUCUUUUAGUUGAACUCUGGAUAUGGCAUGUAUAGGACUACCUUUUGUUGUUUUUCAAAUACUUUUUGUGAUGUAUGUGUAUGCGACCAUGCGAAAAUGGCUCAUAGAAGUGGAGUAUGGCAUUAGACCAUUUGUGUUUAUGUAUAUGUAUAUGGUUUCAUGAUGUGGAUAUGGACUGGAAUGGAAGUGUUGGGCAAUGAUCAGCCCUUGGAAUGGCUAAAUAUGAUCAUAUAUGGACCUAUGUAUGACAAAACUCUAGUUGGUCCAUGGAAAUCACGAAAUAGGUAAAGUUUACCUUGAAAACA